CCCGGGAUCUGUGAGCAGCCACCGUCUUCCUCCAAGUGACGACCCGUCAGCUGCAGCCGACCGUGCCUAAGCCAUGGCAGACAGAGUGUGCGAGUGUGGAGGUGAGGCCUCGGUGGGUGGAAGACCACAGAGGUGUGAAAUGGAGAGUUAACUUUGGCAGUUUGGAAAAAAGAGGGACACCUUAUCUCACCAAACUUCCAGGGAUUACAGAGCCCCAAUCUUCUGCCAUUUCUACUGUUAGACCACAAGAUUUUUAGAGCUGCCAAUACAGUAUGCUCUGUUCUAAGACCCGGAGUUUUUGUGAGGAAAGGAGAAAAACAGCCAUUAUACCAAAAGUCCUCAUGUGGCAGGAAACAUAAGAAGGUGGUGGUCGUCAGACAGAAACAGUGAAACGUUGACUGGAGUGACACUGACACAGGCUGGCAUUCAUGUUUUCUGCAUAGUUACAGCCUCAGACCAGGGCAGCUGUAGACACCAUGACACGCUCCCACUGUUUUAUCUUUACACCGGACGUCCUUCCUGAGGCACCAGUUUACCAGAGAUCCAAAUCCCAAUGAGAAAGCAGGAUACCUCUGAUUGACAUAUGACCUGGUAAUUAGAGCUAGAGGGUUACCUUGGCAACCAGAACCUGGACCGUUUGCCAGCAACAUCACAGUGAUGCACGAUGAGCCACUCACUUCCAGUGUGGACGCAGCUGUCUGCAAAUAUGAAAACCACUACAUUCCUUUGCUGCUAAUAGAUAAUUUGAAGCCAUGAUACAAAUUUAAUGGGUUUAAGAUGAGUUAUAUAAUUUUUUUCCCUCUAUAGUUGUCGCAAAGAUGAAUUUAUCCAUAGAGACAUUUGGGGGUUUUUUGUACCAAGCUGUAAACAUGUUUAUUUCUGCUUUAAAGUUGGACAUUUUAACAUGGGACUCCAUGGGCACUGACUCGCUUUUAGUUCGAGCCUCAAGUGGCCACUCAAUGAACUGCAGUUUUCAACAGUAUUUUUCAUCUCCAGACAUUCCUGCUUUAAAACUCACACUUAAGUCAAAUUCAUAAAUGACAUAAACAUAACAAAUUCCACCAUUUCUUGCUUUGAAUUUUAAAUGACAAUUUUCAGUACAUAAGAGGGUGCUAUUCAUUGGAUGUGUUAAAACUCAGAGCCUGAUAAUCCACAAGAACAUACGGGCCUUAGCCUGCAUAUUACCCUAUAUGCCCUGGAGUUCAAGAGCUACACA